rnacentral:rRNA from 1 species
GAUUAACGCUGGCGGCGUGCAUAACACAUUCAAGUCGAACGGAGUAGGGUGCUUCGGUACUCUGCUUAGUGGCGGACGGGUGAGUAACGCGUGAGCAAUCUACCUCUCGGUACGGGAUAACAACCGGAAACAGUUGCUAAUACCGUAUAAAACGGCAGUCUCGCAUGGGACAACCGUCAAAGAUUUAUUGCCGAGAGAUGAGCUUGCGUCCGAUUAGGUAGUUGGUGAGGUAACGGCCCACCAAGCCGACGAUCGGUAGCCGGACUGAGAGGUUGAACGGCCACAUUGGAACUGAGAUACGGUCCAGACUCCUACGGAGGCAGCAGUGGGGAAUAUUGGGCAAUGGGCGAAAGCCUGACCCAGCAAUGCCGCGUGAAGGAAGAAGGCCCUUCGGGUUGGUAAAACUU